UACGUAGGGUGCGAGCGUUAAUCGGAAUACUGGGCGUAAAGCGUGCGCAGGCGGUUAUAUAAGACAGUUGUGAAAUCCCCGGGCUCAACCUGGGAAUUGCAUCUGUGACUGUAUAGCUAGAGUACGGUAGAGGGGGAUGGAAUUCCGCGUGUAGCAGUGAAAUGCGUAGAUAUGCGGAGGAACACCGAUGGCGAAGGCAAUCCCUGGACCUGUACUGACGCUCAUGCACGAAAGCGUAGGGAGCAAACAGG
rnacentral:rRNA from 1 species